UACGUAGGGUGCGAGCGUUGUCCGGAAUUAUUGGGCGUAAAGAGCUCGUAGGCGGUCUGUCGCGUCGAUCGUGAAAACUCACAGCUCAACUGUGGGCGUGCGGGCGAUACGGGCAGACUGGAGUACUGCAGGGGAGACUGGAAUUCCUGGUGUAGCGGUGGAAUGCGCAGAUAUCAGGAGGAACACCGGUGGCGAAGGCGGGUCUCUGGGCCGAUACUGACGCUGGAGGAGCGAAAGCGUGGGGAGCGAACAGG
rnacentral:rRNA from 1 species